GCGGGCAGCAGCUUGAAUUGCACAGAAAACAGGCAAAAGAAGUGGGAGACAACAGAAGAAAAAUGAUAACCCAUGGGAUUGCUGGGGGUAUGAAUUGAGGAAUGAUUACAGUGACCUGCAAGGUCCUUAGAAAAUAUAUAUAAUAAAGCAGGAAUGGGUCAGCAGAGGAGUUGACCUUUUCACCCAGUGGAUAGGAUGCAGUCAGCCCAAAGCUCAGCUCGUUUUCCUUAAGUUUAGGUUUGGAUUUUGCCUCUUGCUUCUACUUGAUGCAUUAGACUCUGUCACUAAGACUGAAUUAUUAAAGUCGCUUGAGGAACUGCGUUAAUUGAUGGGGUAAGUUGGGAAGGGAUGGAGAGAGGGUUGCAAUUAUUCCAUCAGAUUGUGAAGAAUCGCAGACGGGAGCAGUAGGAAAUGUAGGCCUCCCCUUUGAAUAAUUUAAAAGCCUCAAUGGCCAAAAAAAGAGAAGCUGAUGGUGGAUGAUGAACUGGGUGGGAACAGCCCUUCAGGAGAGAAGUGGCAUCCCGUGUUCUGAUGGAGUAUUUAAUCUGAGAAUGCAGGAGCAUUACGUUGAGAUUUGCCAUCAGGAAACUGAGUGAGGAUGGGAAGUUGGCCGCUGGGGAGCAGCGUUGGGGAUGAGUGCCUUUGUACCACACUGCUAACAAUGCUUCUGAACCAGAGGUUGUGCAGUGAGGGGUAAUGAAAUGAAGAAACGAAACCCCUUUCAAAGUGUAGUUGUAGUGGCAAACAUGGGCGUUAUCCCUGAGCAUUUGGAGCCAUGAGCAAAGUGCUUGGCCAGGCUGAGGAACUGGGUGUGCUGGAGAGCAGCAUCUCAGCAUAAACCUUAAGAUUGUUGCAUCUCAUAGCUGAGGUGUUUUGGUUCUUUUUUCCCUCGUUUGCACCUGUGUAUUUUGAACUGAUGGUAGGACGAGGUUUUGGUUGUUUCUUUUUGUAUUGGGAGUUCCCUGCUGCUGGCUCUGUUGGUUGCUGCAUUGCAGUUUGUGCCCUCGCUUCCUUUCUUUCCUGCUAACUUUUCUCGCUCCUCCAGGCAGGUGGUGCUGGCAGAAUUAUUGCUGAUAGCUGAAUUUUUGCCAACCAACAAAACGCUCGACAAAAAUAGCAGAACAGGAUGUAGGGUUUGUUGGUGGUGGGAGUGCUGUGGCUCCAUCACUUGUUGGGUCUCACCCUUCUGCCCUACAGCACGGAGACAGCAAACUUG
ensembl:lncRNA